AAAGCGGCGUCAAUCCUCUUUCGUUUAGGGGGGAUUUGUUGGGCCCACACCGCCUCCUCCUCCGCCCCCACCCCUAAAUCGUUGUAUAAAUAGCUAAACAUUUCCCAAAAUUUUCAUUAUUUAUAUAUAUAUUAUACGAAAAAAGAUACCGAAAAGCAUUGAACAGUGCACACACCUUAUAAGGAAAAGUGAAUUAUUACGAAAUACUAAUACAGUGGCAGCACUAUAGCUAUUGUGGAAUCUCGCGUUUCAGUUCGCAAAGAUUGGGUUUACUGCCAUACCUAAAUAAAA